AGUGAACGCUGGCGGUAGGCCUAACACAUGCAAGUCGAACGGCAGCACAGAGGAGCUUGCUCCUUGGGUGGCGAGUGGCGGACGGGUGAGGAAUACAUCGGAAUCUACUCUGUCGUGGGGGAUAACGUAGGGAAAUUUACGCUAAUACCGCAUACGACCUGCGGGUGAAAGCAGGGGACCUUCGGGCCUUGCGCGAUUGAAUGAGCCGAUGUCGGAUUAGCUAGUUGGCGGGGUAAAGGCCCACCAAGGCGACGAUCCGUAGCUGGUCUGAGAGGAUGAUCAGCCACACUGGAGCUGAGACACGGUCCAGACUCCUACGGGAGGCAGCAGUGGGGAAUAUUGGACAAUGGGCGCAAGCCUGAUCCAGCCAUACCGCGUGGGUGAAGAAGGCCUUCGGGUUGUAAAGCCCCUUUGUUGGGAAAGAAAUCCAGCUGGCUAAUACCCGGUUGGGAUGACGGUACCCAAAGAAUAAGCACCGGCUAACUUCGUGCCAGCCGCCGCCGUAA
rnacentral:rRNA from 1 species